rnacentral:rRNA from 1 species
UAACGCGAAGAACCUUACCAAGGCUUGACAUAUACCGGAAAGCAUCAGAGAUGGUGCCCCCCUUGUGGUCGGUAUACAGGUGGUGCAUGGCUGUCGUCAGCUCGUGUCGUGAGAUGUUGGGUUAAGUCCCGCAACGAGCGCAACCCUUGUUCUGUGUUGCCAGCAUGCCCUUCGGGGUGAUGGGGACUCACAGGAGACUGCCGGGGUCAACUCGGAGGAAGGUGGGGACGACGUCAAGUCAUCAUGCCCCUUAUGUCUUGGGCUGCACACGUGCUACAAUGGCAGGUACAAUGAGCUGCGAUGCCGCGAGGCGGAGCGAAUCUCAAAAAGCCUGUCUCAGUUCGGAUUGGGGUCUGCAACUCGACCCCAUGAAGUCGGAGUUGCUAGUAAUCGCAGAUCAGCAUUGCUGCGGUGAAUACGUUCCCGGGUCUUGUACACACCGA